CCGACUGUGAGCACUUCCGGGAUCGAUCCGGGAUCGAUUUAUCGCGUCUUAACCAGACGCGAUAAAUCGAUCCCAGAACAUCGAUGGCGUGCCGCCGGACCAGCCGGUAAGUGAAGACUAGGCCAAGGUGUUGGGGAGAAGUAGACAAAUGGAGGCUGGUGGUGAGUCGGAGGUGGCGCAAGGAGGGGAGACAGUAAGAUAUGAGAGUGCAGAAAUAGGCAAGUUGUGAAGGGUCAGCAGUUAAAAACUGGGACUUAGUCAUAAUUAUGUGUUCACUUUUUGAAAAGUUUAAUAUUUUUAGCCUACUUAAUACAGAACCUUGAUCUAGGAACUUCAAAUACCUCCAUUCUUCAGACCUCAGUGAGAAAUAGUUCAUAACUCUGCUUUUCGUGAGUUGGAGCAUAGAAUCUUUUUAUUCAUGUAAAAGUCAUUUUGAAUGUCUAGGUGUAGUCUGAAAGUCUCUACUUCAGUACCUCGAAGGAAGGAACGGCAUCUGCAUUCGUAAGAGCCACAGAUGCACUUCAUGGUAUUUAUAAGCUCUGUGUGGAAACAUGGAAACAUCACUAUCCACUGGCACAGAUGGGAAAGCUUGUAAAUUCCAGGAGCGGCACUUACAAUUUAAUUGUUGGAAAUUGAGUAAGAUUCCUUAAGUAAGGUGUAGUCCAGGGGUCGGCAACCUUUCAGAAGUGCUGUGCCGAGUCUUCAUUUAGUCACUCUAAUUUAAGGUUUCGCGUGCCAGUCAUACAUUUUAACAUUUUUAGAAGGUCUCUUUCUAUAAGUCUACAAUAUAUAACUAAACUAUAGUUGUCUGUAAAGUAAAUAAGGUUUUUAAAAUGUUUAAGAAGCUUCAUUUAAAAUUAAAUUAAAAUGCAGAGCAUACUGUCGACAAAACAGUAGAAGUGACUGCAGUGCUCCUCCCGCCAAUUUAACUCUCCUGCUACGCAGACAUAAUAAAACAAUCUCGAUGACGGCAUUGAGCAUUUUGUGACAAAGUUAGAGCAACACAGUGUCAGUGUAGACACUGCAUUUUCUUAUGUCGCCCUAAGUCAUCUCCAGGAAGUGUCCCACAAUGCCCCUCAUGACUGCUCUGGUAAGCAGUUUCUACUCCGCUGCCCUGCACCCAGGUAGACAGGCAUGUGCCCCUCCCCCUUUAAAGCUCUGUGAAUUUUUGAAAUUCCGCUUCCUGUUUGCUCAGCGUGGACAGCUCCCAUUGCAUCUUCCCAGCUGACCAUGUCAGCUUUCUGCAGCAAAGUGGCACUUGUGUGGAGUACACCAGAGUUACUGAAUCUGUUGGGUCUGUGGAAAGAGGAGGCUGUGCAGUUGCAGCUCUUAUCCAGCCAUAGGAACUUUGACCCCUAAGAGCAGAUUGCUCAUGGCAUGGAUGAGAAGGGACAUGAAAGGGGCAUGCAGCAGAGCCAUGCUCAGAUCAAGAUGCUGAGGCCAGCGUACCAGAAGGGAAGGGAGGCCAACCAUCGCUCAGUGUGGUGCCAAAAACAUGCUUCUACAAGGAGUUGCAUGCCAUCCUCCGCAGUGACCCCACCUCCACCGUCGAGCUCCAUGGAUACUUCAGGGGGAUGGGAGGCAGCGGCCAGCGGAGUCAAACCCGAGGAUGACGUGAUGGACGAGGAGGUCGAAUUCAAGGAGAAUGUGGGACAGGCUCCUCUGGUGGCGUGAUGAACCAGGACCUUUUUUUUUUUACUCCGGAGGGCCAGUCCCAGCAGUCCGGUUCUGGUGUGCCUGAAGCAGGAGUGGGGAGCUCCGAUGUGCUCUUGAGGGGCAUCUCCUACACGUUGGCGGAGCGCCUCCAUCUGAUAAGGAGGCAAACGAGGAGUAAGGAAGACGUGUUUCACAAAAUGCUGCAAUCAUCAGAUCUGGCUGAUCGCGAGCACAGAGCAUGGAGAGAGACAAUAAACAAGAAACUAGAAGUGGGUAGCCAGGAGAGGAGACAGAGUCAAGAGUGGAUAAUAAAACUCAUGGAGGACCAAACAGAUGCUGAGGUCCCUGAUUGCACUGCAGGUGGAACACGUGUGCUCGACUUGCCCUGUAGCCCAUACAGAACGUCCUUCCUUGCCCUUCCCAAACUCCCCACAUACAUUCCCAGUACGUCGCAGUACCCAUUGCGCUCCACCCCAGGGAUGUUUUCCAUAAUGACAUAUUGACUUUCAUGCAGCUAUGAGAUCCUCACUUCAGAGAGUGUUACUCACUGCCAUGUCCCUUUUGAGAAAUGUUAAUCUGUGUAUUGCUGUUUAAUAAAAAUUUAGUCUUACAAA